GUGAGGCUCAGAGAGGUGAGGUGAUUUGCCCAAGGUCGAAGAGUGGGGACUGCACAGCCGGGUCUCUGUCGGACUCCAAAGACGGUGUGUACUUUUCCAGCACCAUUAACACCCUGUGGGAGACUCAGCUUCUGGCAGGCCCAGGACCCAGAUGGAAUCGGGAGCAAACACCAAGGAGUCUUCUUCCUUCUGGGCCAGGUUUUCCAAGACUCUCCGGCUGCAGCUGAACGGCCUUGUGUCCAUCGUACGAGGUGUUUGUAUAUAAUACUGAGGAUGGUGGGGGGCUGAUGGAGGCUUUAAAGUUGGAAAGUGAUGGGAUCAGAAUCCCCAGGUUUGGGGGACAAUUCUGACUGUGUAUUGAGGGUGGGCAGGAGGAGUGACCCCGGAGGCAGAGGGCUCAGAGACAGGUGACAAGGACUCUGACCAGCUUUCAUCUGUGUCACAUGUCCUCUGAGCCUUCCUCUCAACUGGCCUCAUCCUUGGUUUGCCACUCUUGCUCUGCUGAGCCCAGUUUUAGCAAGAAUCCUGGCAGGCCACUUAGUAGGAAUCCCCCCUGCCUUUGAUACCGAGCUAAGUUUCUCUCAGUGGUGUUCCGUCCGCCGACCCUCUCACCCUGCCCCUGGGCUAUAAAUCCCCAGUUGCCUCUGCUGUGCCUGGAGCUGCACCCAACCCUGCCCAGAAGUCUCUCCCCUCUAUUGCCGUAGCCCAGAUAAAAUCCAACUGGCUGCUUUUAGCAAGUCCAGCACCAUUUCACUUUGACAUGGGGCAGAAGCCACACUGAGCAUGAGAUGAUGACUGAGAGGCCGGAGAGGAGAGGAUACGUUUUGAAGGUAGAACAGAAAGAUCAGGUCAAGGAGAGGACGGAGUUGGGGACCCAGGUGAAGCAACAGACAUGUGGAAUCUGGCAGGGAGAAUAGCUUUUGAGACGAGAAUACCAACUCUGGUCUUGGUCUGUUGGAUUUGGCCCACUUUGUCUUCGGUGCAAUCACUCCCAUGCACUCCUUCCAGAUACCACCCCUUGUGAGCUUCCCUACCCCAUUCCCAAGAUGACCACUGAGCUGCAUCUAGGCCUGCUGUCUCAGCAGCUCCCCUCCCCUCCUCAGAGCGGUGUGUGUCAUUCCCUCAAGAACCUGCGCCCCCCUCCCUGUGUCAGGUGCCUAAUUUAAACAGCAAAUCUGGGGUAAGAGAUGCAUGCCUUCCUCCACUCAGCAGAUGUAUUUGCAUUUUAACGGGGACAUUUAGGAGGCACUUCCUUUACCCCAAAGAAAAUGAAAUGAGGUUUCGGAGGCCAGAGACUAAUGGCGGAGGAACGAUGUAGAGAGUGGUGCAAAGAGCAUGGGUUUCGAAAUCAGGCCAAGUCGAGUUCAAGUCCAGAUUCAGAGGAGUCCUUACUCUUGGCCUGGCGGCUUCAGUGGGGGCACCGUUGCCUUGUUUGAGGAGCUAACAUGCCAUACUCUGCACAUUCCCUCGCCUUUCUGGACCUCGAUUUUCUCAUCGGGAGGGGGCAUCAUCGCCUUACCUCCCUCAGGAGCAGGUGCACAAAGCUUCCCUGUGACAGUAAGGGUCCCCUCAUCCCCCUGCUGCAGCACACACACUCUCGGGCCCUCCCCCUCAUGGGUAGCCACCUGCUCACUGUGGACCUUUCUCCCCCUUGACCUUUGUGUGUGCUUGGUGUUUGGUUUGAGUCCCCAGUGCAGAAUUCCAUCUGGCAGGACUUGUUGUUUCCGAAGACCGAGUUGGAGAGGCCCACCCAUGUGGCAUUGCAGGCCAGAAGCAGAGGAGGCUGGGGUUCGAAGAAGGCGGCCCUAUAAUUAAUCCCCCGGCUUUCUCACCACCAUUGUCUCUUCCCUAUUGAGAUCGGCCAAUUAGCAGUUGCGCACUCCUCUGUGCGGCAGCCACUUAUUAGCCAAGACAAAGGCCGCAUUGAUUCCAAUUUGUCCUGAAUUUGGCUGUCUCUGAAGUUGAAGAUUGCAUUUGGGUAGCAGUGCUGGGGGAAGAAAUGUAGGGGCAACAUAAAAGAGAGUGCCUAAAAUUAGUUGAAAUAAUUUUAGCUCUUUUGUGGAUGACUAAACUAAAUAUAAACAGAAGAGAGAAGAAAAAUCUUCAUAACGUUAAUUACCAUAAACAUUAAGUACCCAAAAAUGAGGCAUACAAUUUGUUUGGUGACACUCCGAUAAUUAAAUCAUUUUCUCCCAUUGAGGUUCCUUGCAGGUCUGUGUGGAGCCAGGCUCUCCCUGAGAGGUUUUCUCUGGCCCCAAGGGAUGCUCAGAAUUCUGCGUCCCCUGUUUCUACACCCAUGGUUUUUCUCCGGUCCAGUCCUGAGCUGGCUGUUGUGCUGGAGAGACCACGAGAAAAGAUUUCAUGGAGGAGAAGACCUGAGGCUCCACAGAAAGGGAGAAGCACCUCACCUUUCAUCCACUCCCAGUAAGCACAAGGCAUGUGAAUGAGCCACCUUGCACGUCCAAGCCCAGCCAAGUCCCAGACGCCUGCACACCCCGCUGACUUUACAGGAGCAGAAGAACCUUCCAGCUGAGCCCAGUCACCCCUCAUAAUCAACUCUGAAUAAAAUGGCUGCUACCUUGAGUCCCUGUGUUUUGGGGUGGUCUGUUAGCCACUACAGAUGAUUAAAAUACUUGA